UACGGAGGGGGCUAGCGUUGUUCGGAAUUACUGGGCGUAAAGCGCACGUAGGCGGCUUUGUAAGUUAGAGGUGAAAGCCCGGGGCUCAACUCCGGAAUUGCCUUUAAGACUGCAUCGCUAGAAUUGUGGAGAGGUAAGUGGAAUUCCGAGUGUAGAGGUGAAAUUCGUAGAUAUUCGGAAGAACACCAGUGGCGAAGGCGGCUCACUGGACUGGUAUUGACGCUGAGGUGGCGAAAGCGUGGGGAGCAAACAGG
rnacentral:rRNA from 1 species